CGAAGUUAGAGAGCGAGAUUAAACAUGACGCCCCCAUGCUGUCGAUAAUGGAGGCGCGCUGAAACUGUGGCAAGACGAAGUUUCACUAAACUUUACUGGGGUGAACAAAAAUCUUAUAUUUAAAAAAAAUAUUUAAUGCCGGUUUAAGAUAUUUUGAAUAGUAGUCUUUCAGUAGGCAUAAACAUUAGUCAGGCGCUGUCUUUUACUUUAAAUGUCGAUUCCAAGCGUGUUCUAAUGGCUUACUUAACUUCGGGCCCUAUGGUUUUCUUCAACCAUAAAACUCGCCACCGUCACACAAAUGAAACAUUUCUUAGUAAAACCUUCAUCAGGGGAUAAAUAUGUAAGUAAGUAAGACAUUCUCGUUUAUUAUUUAACAGUAUCAGGCCCUGUUGUUGUUUUUGUCGCCUUCUGCCUCGUCCUCACUGGUUCUCUCUGCACUGGCGUUGCUUUGUCCAGUAAAUUGCUUGAAGUCGCAAAUUACUACCGAGCUGCAGGGCUGGCUACAGGGAUACUAGGUAUCUUGGUGCUUCUGUUAGCCGUGCUAUGGCUAUAUUUGCCUCCAAAUCUCCCUUGCAAGAAAAAAGCACCAAUCCAGGAGUCCGAUAGCCCUGAUGUGUUAGAAACAGGAAAGGAUGACGGAAAAAAAUCAGCCGAAUCUGAACGCGCUUUACCUGACGUUGAGGCUAACUUGCCCAGCUCUAGUUUGCCCUCGAGGGAUAUCGAUUCAAAAACUUUGCCAGAACAAACAGUACCUUUUUUGCCACAGAAACCCAUUCAAACAGAGAAACCGGAGCCAAAAGUAAUAAAGGUAGAAAAUCCGUCCAGUAACAAAGUCACUGGGAUGGUGGUUAGGUCGCAAAACGAAGUCUAUAUGACCACCUAUGAGGCAGUCUUUAGUAUGACUGUCCAAACAGGUAUGAUUCAGAAACAAAAAGAAAAGCUAACCGAGUGUAAAUACGAUAUUCUAAUGACUGAGAAACAUAAAACAGGUUUACUAAUGUUGACUGAAGAAGUUACAUCGAAGAUAUAUAAGACUCACCUUUUGUUUAUGAAUUUAGCAAAUAAAAAGUACAAAUUUCACAAGAUUGAUCUGGAUUCAAAAUCAAGACCGACUUGGGUCGUGACGAGUCGGUACGACGAAACUUGGUACUUGACUAUGUCAAACCCGGCAAGAGUACUUAAGAAAACAAGUGACAAGAAGAAGUGGAGAGAAUUCGGCCAAAGUGUGUUGAAGAAACCUGCAUGUAUCGUUCAGAAUUCCUCUGGUCGGCUCAUCAUCGCUGAUUCUCGUAAAAAUGAUUUAUUGGUUUUCGAGGAAAACGGGGAAUUUGUUACUUCCAUGGGAAUAUCUGUUCCCAGGAAUCUGAGUACCGAGAUAAACGGCUGUGACAGAUUGGCCAUAGGUCCAGACGACAAGAUUUAUGCGACAAGUCCACUGUCUAAAAAUAUACUUGUGUUUUCGUCGGACUUCAGAUUUGACCGAACUUUACCUACUAGAUCUGAAGAAGGCGGAGCUAUAUCAUGCUUACUGGUAUAUAACGACUGGCUUUACGUAGCUCACGAGGACUGUAUUCGGGUCCAUCGACUUAAAUCGCGCUCAUCGAUCAGUGACGACUGAUUAUAUACAGAGAUAGAUUCUCGUACCUCAUUCUCGCUCAUCUGAAACAUUUUCCGUCAUCUCAUCCCGGAACCUGUGUGUUUCAUUCGCCUAGCCUAUCAUUAUACUCAAUCAUAUAUCAGGACUUUACAGAAUUAUAUGAUCACCUGUUAAUUGUAUGUUUCAGGUCUUAUCACUGACCCUCCUAUGUAUACAUUGUCGUCCUCCUAUUAUAUUAAGGAGUUUGUCUUUGCAGUAUGUUCUGCAUUGCUUUCUCCUAUUGUCGGCUUUAAUUUUUGGUUACCUUGAAUAAACAAAUGCACCCUGUAUGCAAAAGGCGA